GCUUCCUACGGGAGGCAGCAGUAGGGAAUAUUGGACAAUGGGCGAAAGCCUGAUCCAGCCAUGCCGCGUGAGUGAUGAAGGCCUUAGGGUUGUAAAGCUCUUUCAGCGGGGAAGAUAAUGACGGUACCCGCAGAAGAAGCCUCGGCUAACUCCGUGCCAGCAGCCGCGGUAAUACGGAGGAGGCUAGCGUUGUUCGGAAUUACUGGGCGUAAAGCGUGCGUAGGCGGUUUUUUAAGAUGAGUGUGAAAGCCCGGAGCUCAACUCCGGAACUGCGCUCAUGACUGGAAGACUGGAGUCCGAGAGAGGUGAGUGGAAUUCCCAGUGUAGAGGUGAAAUUCGUAGAUAUUGGGAAGAACACCAGUGGCGAAGGCGGCUCACUGGCUCGGUACUGACGCUGAUGCACAAAAGCGUGGGGAGCAAACAGGAUUAGAUACCCUGGUAGUCCACGCCGUAAACUAUGAGUGCUAGACGUUGGGGGGCUUGCCUCUCAGUGUCGAAGCUAACGCGAUAAGCACUCCGCCUGGGGAGUACGGCCGCAAGGUUAAAACUCAAAGGAAUUGACGGAAGC
rnacentral:rRNA from 1 species